CAGUCGCCACGGGAAUACGUAGGGUGCAAGCGUUAAUCGGAAUUACUGGGCGUAAAGCGUGCGCAGGCGGUUAUAUAAGACAGAUGUGAAAUCCCCGGGCUCAACCUGGGAACUGCAUUUGUGACUGUAUAGCUAGAGUACGGCAGAGGGGGAUGGAAUUCCGCGUGUAGCAGUGAAAUGCGUAGAUAUGCGGAGGAACACCGAUGGCGAAGGCAAUCCCCUGGGCCUGUACUGACGCUCAUGCACAAAAGCGUGGGGAGCAAACAGGAUUAGAUACCCCUGUAGUCCCUGUCUCUUAUAC
rnacentral:rRNA from 1 species